rnacentral:rRNA from 1 species
GACGAACGCUGGCGGCGUGCUUAACACAUGCAAGUCGAACGGAUCAUUUCAUUUCGGUGGGCUGGUUAGUGGCGAACGGGUGAGUAACGCGUAGACAACCUACCUCUCAGAUGGGGACAACAUCGCGAAAGCGGUGCUAAUACCGAAUGAUGUAACUUUUCUGCAUGGAAGAGUUACCAAAGGCGGCCUCUAUUUAUAAGCUGUCACUGAGAGAUGGGUCUGCGUCUGAGUUAGCUAGUUGGCGGGGUAAUGGCCCACAAAGGCGACGAUCAGUAGCCGGUCUGAGAGGGUGAACGGCCACAUUGGGACUGAGACACGGCCCAAACUCCUACGGGAGGCAGCAGUGGGGAAUCUUCCGCAAUGGACGAAAGUCUGACGGAGCAACGCCGCGUGAGUGAAGAAGGUUUUCGGAUCGUAAAGCUCUGUUGUUUGAGACGAACGUGCAAUUUUUGAAUAAGGAAUUGUAAUGACGGUAUUAAACGAGGAAGCCACGGCUAACUACGUGCCAGCCGCCGCGGUAA